GGUGACCAGCGGAGGGAUCAUUACAGAGUUGAUAAAAAGACUCCCAAACCCGUGUGAACUUACCUCUUGUUGCCUCGGUAGGCAAGCUGGUACCCCUUCACGCCACUCCUGGCGUGACGCGGUGGCAGCCGGCCUGCCGGUGGCCUAAGAAAUGAAAUUCUGUUUUUUUUACGAUGUGAUAUUCUGACGAGUGGAUAAAAAUCUAAGUUAAAAACUUUCAACAACGGAUCUCUUGGUUCUGGCAUCGAUGAAGAACGCAGCGAAAUGCGAUAAGUAAUGUGAAUUGCAGAAUUCAGUGAAUCAUCGAAUCUUUGAACGCAUAUUGCGCCCAUUAGUAUUCUAGUGGGCAUGCCUGUCCGAGCGUCAUUUCAACCCUUGAGCCUCUGUUGCUCAGCGUUGGGAGCCUACAGCGUCCCUGCCGUAGUUCCUUAAAGGUAGUGGCGGAGUCGGCUUACCACUCUAGGCGUAGUAGAUUCUAUCUCGCCUAUAGAUAAGCCGGCCUCUCGCCGUAAAAGGAAAAAAACAAAUCGUUAUCAGGUUGACCUCGGAUCAGGUAGGAAUACCCGCUGAACUUAAGCAUAUC
rnacentral:rRNA from 1 species